rnacentral:rRNA from 1 species
UACGUAGGGCGCAAGCGUUAUCCGGAAUUAUUGGGCGUAAAGAGCUCGUAGGCGGUUUGUCGCGUCUGCCGUGAAAGUCCGGGGCUCAACUCCGGAUCUGGCGGUGGGUACGGGCAGACUAGAGUGAUGUAGGGGGAGACUGGAAUUCCUGGUGUAGCGGUGAAAUGCGCAGAUAUCAGGAGGAACACCGAUGGCGAAGGCAGGUCUCUGGGCAUUAACUGACGCUGAGGAGCGAAAGCAUGGGGAGCGAACAGG